AUUGAACGCUGGCGGCAGGCCUAACACAUGCAAGUCGAGCGAGCGGCGGACGGGUGAGUAAUGUAUGGGGACUGCCCGAUAGAGGGGGAAAACUACUGGAAACGGUGGAUAAAACCGCAUAUUGUCGGAUAACCCAUAUGGGAUUAGCUAGUAGUUAAGGUAAUGGCUUACCUGGGCGACGAUCCCUAGCUGGUCUGAGAGGAUGUUCAGCCACACUGGGACUGAGACAAUGCCCAGACUCCUACGGAGGCAGCAGUGGGGAAUAUGGCACAAUGGGCGCAAGCCUGAGGCAGCCAUGCCGCGUGUAUGAAGAAGGCCCUAGGGUUGUAAAGUACUUUCAGUCGGGAGGCGUUACCGACAGAAGAAGCACCGGCUAACUCCGUGCCAGCAGCCGCGGUAAUAC
rnacentral:rRNA from 1 species